UGCAUUUGGUGUUAGCAUGAACCAGUUUAUCGGAAGGUGCAAGGGUUUUAUUCUUGCAGUACAUUAUUGUAAUUGACAAGUACACCAGGUUGUUGUGUCUUAUCUUCUCCUUGAGGGCUUUUCCCACUGAUGGUUUAUAGUUUUUACCAGCCAAACAGUUUAUAUAGUAUAUUAUUGUAUUUGGAAAAUAUAAAUGAUUUAGAACUUUUGAGAAUGUUGCAACUUUCCAAGUUAAUUUGUUCCAACACCUGUGUAAAUUCACAUUUUACAGCAUUGGUAGCUUAUAAUAAUUUUUUUGUUUUCCUGUUUUUGUUUUCUUCUUCUUUUUUUUUAGUUGGCCUGGAAAGUGACUUAUUAAUUUUUGUUAAUAACUUUCUUGCUUUGCGAUCAGCCUCUAUGUUUAUUAAAUUGUUGGGUGACACUAACUUGAUUUGUCCUAUUGAACCAGAGCGGAAAUGCUUGAACUUGAGCAUCCCAUGGGUGAUUCUGGGCUAUUCUGAGAGAAGGCUUCUGCUACAUGAAUGAAACGAGGCAUUCCAUUUUGCUCUUGAUGCAUCUGUGAUCACCAAGUCUACUUCAAAUGUACUUCAGAAAAUCUUCGUAUUCAAUCUGAGUUGAAGUAUUCCUUUUAUAAAUUGUUUUUUUAGUAUUCUUGUUGCAACACAUAUUCUGUGUGCCCCUUUUUUUAAUUGGCAUUCUGUAUGCCCUUGCUCAAGGCUUGAAGAUGAUUUCUUAUGUUGGUGAGGAUCUUGAGCAGAGAGACUCAAAAUGUACAAUGGUUGCUGUUUGCUGCACAGACUAAAACAAUCACAGGUUAUUCCUCUCUUUUAUGUAGCAAUUUAUUUAUUUGUGGGAUAUUAUCAUCCCUGUUAAGUAAUGUUUCCAUCCAGUUAGAAGAAUCUUGCUGGAUCUGCCUUAUUCCAUUUUCUCUUUUUAAGUGUUGUUCACCUCAUAUAAGUUCUUCUUCCAGUCAUCAUUGGCAUACUCUUUUUUUGGCCCUUUUGAACUUACAGAUGUUAUCAAGUAUUGAGGUCAGGAUUUUGGAUUUUAGAACUUGGUUUCACUGUACCAUUAGGUUUUUUAGGCUUAUUUUUUAUACUUUUGUUGCAUUUGUGGUUCUUUCAUUUGGAUAUUGAAUGGUUGUUGUUAAUGCAUGAUGUGUAGCUGAAUAUGCUUUGCUCAUUGGAACUCCAUUAUCUUUCCAAAACAAAUAUUCAUUUCUUUUCCCCAUUUUAAGUGAUCAUUCAAACUUGAUUAGUACAUUUAGUUGUAUAUUUGAGGUAGCUCUCAGCGAUUGACAAGCAUAACUUGAAGUUGUUAAUGGCUAUACUAGGUACAUAUUACAAAAUAAAAUGUACACAUCAAUACAAGCCGAAAAGAAAAUGGAAGAACUCAGUGAAUAGAAGAAGAAAAGAAUAAUUGGGCAAAAAUUUUAAUACAUGUUAAUGGUUAUAAUUAAUAUACAUUUUAAUGCACACACAAAGAGAAUGGGAAUUAACAGUCCUUGUGAACGAUGAGUUAAAAACCUCCUGCACCACUUGCAGAAAUAGCAAAUAAGAAUUGCCAAAAUUCUGCAUAUAGUUAAAAGUGUAUAGUAUACUAAUACUGUUGAGGUCACACCGUGAUGUGUCAUUUGUAUUAUAGUUUUAUUCUGUGAUGACUUCUGUAAGAGUAUUCCUUGCACCUCCAUUAAGAUUUUCCAUCACCUCCUGAAAAUGCUACACUGCAGUUCCUUAUCACAAAAUGUAGUAUAAUAUAUUGGAAGCCUCAAAAGACCAACUUUGUUACUAACUACUAUGCCUUUGAUUUUCUGAUAUUUCUGAAUUGAUAGGGAUGCACCCUUUGGUUUCCUUCCAACAGAAGAUUUCACUUUUCAUAUUUUUGGAAAACUAUUCAGCUAUUUUGACUGCUUGUUUAGAUUUCUUCUAAAACCCUCAAGCUCUUCAUGAUCUCCUAUUACUGUUUUCAUGUGGAUUUUAAGGAUGCACAGUUCACACUGUUAUUUAUAAUCAUUGAAAUGCCAGCAUUAUACCUUUAACCUAAUAAUCAUAAUGACAUGAAAAUCUUUGUGAUCUUAUGUUUGUUGUUCGUGCAUUGGACUGCAGUGGAGUAUCUUAUAGUUAUAUUUUACAUGUGGUGUAUUUAUGUUAAAAGUGCGACUAGGGAUAUGAGCCAAGACCUAGCAGCUAAAAGUUUAGGACUGAACUUUUCGUUUCUUGCAGAGCGACUGUCAAAUUUGGCUUAUGUUGUUCUGACUUCUGACCUAUGAACUUUUUUGGGCCAUCGAAACUGGAGCGGUCGCUCAGAGCCUCAGACUCAGGAUGUAAGUUCUGGUUUCAUAUAUAAAACAUUGUGUGUGUUUAUGCUUCUACAAUUGGUAGAGUAUUAAACAAAACUGGGACAUCUUGUUUCGCAUGUGGACAUUAAAGAUUGGCGAGUAUGACAAGUGGAAUUACAUAUGCUAUAUAGGGUCUCUUAUAGAUAUAUGUUCAAAAUUGAUUUCUUUUCACACUCUUAUGAAAUCACAAAGAAAAUGUAAUGAUGUGGUUGCCUAUUGAAGAGGAGAGUUUGUGUACAGUUGAAUUUUGAUUCACAGUUUCUGCUGCCUUUUGGCCGCAUUUCCAACCAAUAUCAUCUUUUGGGUGAAAAUUUGAGUAGAUAUCCAACUUGUUAUGGUUGGUUGCCUAUUAAACAACAUCCAAACUUAUUUAGGGACAUAAUUUUUGUAAUCAUUAGGUGACCUUGCCAUAUUUUUUUUAUUUUGUUUAUUUAUAGGUUUGUGAGAGAAGAUAAACAUUUUGAACGUAUAUUUAUAGGACAUAUAUCUCAAACCGUCUAAGGACCCUAUAGAUUACCAAUAUAAGUCGAAAAAAACUAAAAGUUGAGCAUUAUGCAAUUUCACCAGUUAUAGUCGUCAAUUUUCUUUAUGUUCACAAGAAAGCAAGAUAACCCAAAUGGACCGUGUUGCUCAACCCCACAGUCAAAAUACUUCACUGAUUGAAUUUACAAAAGCUUACAAUGCUAUUUUGAUCCCCCCACCCCACCCAUGUGGUAAUUUUGUAUCUCUAUGAGUGGCUCGAAUUAAAUAAGAAGAGUAAAUUGGAAGCUUGUAAAUAUGUCUUCCUGUAAAAUGGGUGAAAUUGGAAGUACACUGGGCCNNNNNNNNNNNNNNNNNNNNNNNNNNNNNNNNNNNNNNNNNNNNNNNNNNNNNNNNNNNNNNNNNNNNNNNNNNNNNNNNNNNNNNNNNNNNNNNNNNNNACCAACAUCUGUGUAUCGCCGUAUCGCUCUUCAUAUUUUACAGGUAUUGGAGUGCCAGCUUUAGUCUAGUGAGCAUAAAAACGUCUAGUGGAAUGAGACCAAGCUCAAAACAGGAUAAUGAAAAACGUGGGUGUUGUCCCCCCACCAUCUUUCCUCGACUUUAUCGGUAAGUUUUCUUUGUCAUGUCUCUUAUUUAUAUUUCUUUUGCAAAAGUUUUCCAGUUUUAAUUAUACUGUGCGUUAUGAUAACCAUAACUUAAGGAACAAUAGGAUUCCAAGUUUUCUUGAAAUCCAAAAUAGAUAUACAAAACAAAUUUAGAAUAAUGACUAUUGUACGAAAUGUCUAAUAUAUGAGAUAGGGUUAGAGUGGAGAUUUUCUACAAGAAAAAUACAAAUUUUAGCACAUCUUAGUUGUUCCACACACAUACACACGUGAGAAUUCCACGUGAGAAUUCAAGCCUUUGAUAAGCCAUGUACGAGAAACUCUUAAAUGAUGGAGCCUGUAGACCCCUACUGGUUCUUUUGAGAGGGUACUCUACAAAGUUGGCCUUUAGCUAAGUAGACUCUCCUAACUCAAAAACUUCAGAUGCUCAUUUAUGCUCAGGCCAUGUCUAUAGAACCUUUUUCACACGGUUACUUUUAUGAAUUCCAUUAUGUAAACUCGAUCAAUGUCUCAAAUGGUCCAAGGAGAAGAGACUGCUCUACAAAACUUAAUUCUUUGACUGUGAGAAUGGAUUCUGUCUACAUUUUUUUUUUUUUUGGUAAAGCAUUCUGUCUACAUAUGAGCCCAUGCACAUAUGUGUUUUUGACCACAUUGAGAUUGUCGCUUUCACCCAAAAUCAAUUAUUUGUCAUUAAGAUGUAGGUUUUUAAAGGUCAACUGAUUCGGCUGCAUAAUUGAAUUGUUUGAACUGAACUAGCUUAUAUGUUGACUGUAGAAGUUCAGUUUUGUCACACAAUUCUCUGGCAAACUAUAUACUGAUAUCAUUCACAGUUAUUUUUCUACCACUUUGGGCAGGGAAUAGUGUAUGUAUAGUGUAAAUUCAUUAUGUAAUAAUAAUGAAUAGAUUAAACUAGCUAGACAUGCACUUAGAUGCAGAAAAAAUAAGUUAACAUAAAAAACAAGGGACAUGUAAUUUAAUCAAGGCACUAUUAGAAAACUAAACGGGUGUUUAUCUCUAAACUAAUUAUAUAUGUUUAACAUGACAGUCCUUUCUAUAUAACAUCACUGUAGUAUAGUCUAUAUACUCUAUACUGUACAAUAUGUAUAUGAAAUUAUGAAUACAGGCAGGAGUAGAAUUUUUGUUGAUCCAUGAAGCAUAAAGUCAAGAUUUGGACAGAGUAACAGCAAUCAAUGUGAACGGCCUUUUGGGUACAAUGUGGUUGACUUUGAAUACUAUGGAAACUAAUCAUCUAGAAGAAGCAAAUGUCUUAUUCAUUGUAAAGUCUACUUGCAGGUUGACAGUCUGUUUUAUGGACAUGUUGCUUGCCAAUUUGCCUUACUUUGCCAUGUGAUAAGAGAUAAGUCUCGUGGCCAAGGUAUUUAAAAUUCAUACAAUUUAUUUAUUUGCAACAACAACCAGUAUGGCAUUCAUAAAAAAACAACCAGUGUGGCAUCUUCCCCUGCUUUUGCAUGUGAAAUUGUUGUUGGCGCAGGCCACUGCAGAGAUCUACACAGAUUAUUCAGACUAUGGUGUUUGCAGUUUGCUUGAUUGAAGUAUCUUAAGAGAUAAUUUAUUUGCUUAUUUAUGUUGAUGAUUUGAUAUAAUGAUGAGGGUAGAGAAUCGAGAUUAUAGAAAUGGCAACCCAUUUUGUUCACAAGGAAACAAGAUUAGCCAUCAUUAUGAUUCUUGUAAUAAACAAGCAAUCCAAAAUAAGAUGAUUAUUACAGAAUUAGUAUCUUACUAUGGUUGUUCUCUUUAUUUUAUUUUUGCCAGGUUGUAUAUGCAUGGUUUGCAUGUCGUUUUCCCCCCUUACAUAUACUAUAUAAAGCCUUGAAGGCUAAAUUAAUUUGUUAUUAUUUGAGCACGUUCGCUUGAGCUUAUUAAUAUUGA
rnacentral:lncRNA from 1 species